ACUCUUUACCUACCGACGCUCUUGCAAUUGGCUCAAAGAACUUCCCCUUCUUCCCACAAUCACACGAGUCCAGGUUUCCCAUCUUUAGGUGAUUCAUUCUAGAACCAGAGAACUAUGAACAGG